rnacentral:rRNA from 1 species
UACAGAGGUCCCAAGCGUUGUUCGGAUUCAUUGGGCGUAAAGGGUGUGUAGGCGGCGCCGUAAGUCAGGUGUGAAAUCUCGGGGCUUAACUCCGAAACUGCAUUUGAUACUGCGGUGCUUGAGGACUGGAGAGGAGACUGGAAUUUACGGUGUAGCGGUGAAAUGCGUAGAUAUCGUAAGGAAGACCAGUGGCGAAGGCGGGUCUCUGGGCCGAUAUUGACGCUGAGGAGCGAAAGCGUGGGGAGCGAACAGG